rnacentral:rRNA from 1 species
UACGAAGGGGGCUAGCGUUGCUCGGAAUCACUGGGCGUAAAGGGUGCGUAGGCGGGUCUUUUAAGUCAGGGGUGAAAUCCUGGAGCUCAACUCCAGAACUGCCUUUGAUACUGAGGAUCUUGAGUUCGGGAGAGGUGAGUGGAACUGCGAGUGUAGAGGUGAAAUUCGUAGAUAUUCGCAAGAACACCAGUGGCGAAGGCGGCUCACUGGCCCGGUACUGACGCUGAGGUGCGAAAGCGUGGGGAGCAACAGGA